UUUGGAUAUCUUGCUUAAUAUAUAUAGCACUGCUAAACUAAGCCUGAGCGCAAAUUCCUUUACCCUACGCGCCGGCCAUAGCGUGCGCUUAAUUAAGCCAACCACCCCUCCAGCCGUCCCGCAUGGAGCCAUGCAUGUUUGAACGUAAAAGUGGAACACUUAGUAGUAAGGACAUUACUACAAAGCAUAUUUACUUGAAAUCAAACGUAAAUCCAUGAUGAUAUUCUGGUAAUGGUUCAUAUGGGAUGCAAUAACACAAAUAGUAGUAAUGAAAUCAAUGGACUGGGUCAGAUGUUCCUAUGAAUUGCUAGUAAACCUAUGAGAAGGUAGUGGUAAUUCAAUUACUACCUAGCUAGUAGCUAAUAGAUUUGCUCGGUUAGGUAGUAAACCUACAAUCUCUACUAUUAAAGGAGGAUCGAACGUCGUGAUGGUUCAACCUGGUUCGCUCCCCCCGCUUCCUUCGAUCCCCGCAUCGCUCCUUUUCACCCCACGUCAGAAAAAGCAGCAAGAGAAAAAAGGAAAAAGAAAUAGCCACGACCCCACGAACACCCCGUCCCACGAUCCAAUCUCCCUCGAUCCCCUCGCCUUCGUUCCAAUCCGCCUUCCCAUCUGCCGCCCGUCUAUGCACCUUUCUCCGUGCCCGCCGAGGCAGCCAGGGCCAGGACCAGCACCGCGAUGUGGUAUGAACACAGUCGACGCCUCUCUCCCCAUCGGCCACGCGAAGGGACCCCUGAUUACUUUAUCGUGAUUCAAUGGGAAUCACCAGUUCACCACCGCCCCCAACGAAGGCGCGUAGAAACAACGGUUUGUUUUUCCCCUCAUUUGUGUUCUCGUCCCUUCCUCUCGUCCCGAUUCCAGACAUAGCGGCUGUUUUGUUUGUUCUGAUGCAUGUUCAUCUCCUAAGGUUGUGGUGCAGAAGCCAGCGGCCAAGCAGCCGGACACGGUAUUUCUGAAUCCUAAAUUCCUCUCUCCUUUCUAUAUUGUUUGUCGCUUGAUCAGAAUAGGAGAUUGUGAGCAAUUAGAAAAUGUAGAACAGUGUAGGAAUUACUCUUGCUUGAGUUUCACGCUUCAUGCAUGUCAUAUAUUUGAAGAUACGCUUGGACGAAGCACUAAUGGCAUGGGGUCACAGCAUAGUGUUGGGCUGUCUCAGCCUAGGAUGUUUCCAAAAAUCUGUCAUUCUUUAUUUAUGUCAAUAUGAAAGUGUUUUGUGGAACUUGGUGGAAGGACAUCAGCGUUUAUUUCAGCGGGCUUAAAAUAAGACAUACACACAAAAAUAUAAUUUCUUGGUUCUUUUACUUCUGUAUCGUAUGUUAAUUGCUAAGAGAAAGUAGUGGCUACACUCAGAUUUGGUGCACCCGGACUACAAAUAGUAAAAUCAAAACCACUCUCUAACUGCUAGAUACAACAUAUGUUUGAUUUAUGCAUUAUUGGCCGGGUUGGUUGAGGUGUCUGGAGCGGAGGGAGAUAUGAGUGGAGUAGGCGACCAACUAGCUUUUAGUGGUUCUCCAUGAAAAGGUAAGCCGCUCGUAUGCACACUUUUGUCCCUUCAUUCCAUUCUUUAUGACCAGAUUGACUUAUUUUUCUGGAAGAAAGGAUGUCAGUUUUGGGGAUUUCUCUCGAGCAUGAGAAUCAAUAAGUUUUGAUGCUUUUGUGUGGUUUGCUGCACCAACGGUAUAAGAGGAUGAUGAUCUUGCUAUGCAGGUCAACAUACAUUUAGUUGUGUCAGAAGUUACAAGGGGUAUACUUAACUGGUUUGUUAUCUCUUUGACAUUAUGGUUCACAAUGGCGGAUUUAGCUUGAAUGAUGAACUCUUAAAUUUUCAAGUACUUUGUAGAAAGGAAUUGCAAGGUAUGUUAGUACUAGGCCUAGGGUUAUAGCCAUAGCUGCUCUAGCUCUGUCUCCGCCAUUGAUGGUUCAGAGUGAGAAGUUCUUAGGUUAUUGAGAGUGAGUUUGUAUUUUAGAGAGCAAAAUACUUUGGGUUUUGUGACAAUAAUGCAUGCCACUUACAAAUUACUAAUUGUAUUUAUAUCAUAAACACAUCAACAAUCAUAUCCAGUGUUAUGACAUUGGCGCUCUUAUUGGCGUGACAGAGGAUAAACCAGUUCUUAGUUGUUCCUAUGUUGGUGAGGUUAUUUAUUCCAUACUUAGGCUAUGAAUUCUUUUGCCCAGCGCAAUGGUCCAGAACUAUUCUGGUACAAGCAGUAGCAUGAUUAUUAUGAAGAUCUAAGCUUCCACUGCUUACACCUGGUGGAAACAACAUUGGUGCUCAAAGCUCUUGGUUUCCCUACGUAUACUCAUAUAGAUGUUGCCUUAGGUGGAAUCUACGGUGGUGAAAAAAUAUUAUUUGCAUAGAAUACAGUAAGAGAGUAAGUACAUCAUAAUUUAUGGAACGAAGCUUAUCUAAUAUUAAAAGUGUGGGUGUGUAAGGAUUUUCUAUCUGAUUAUGAGCUAAACCUCUAUAAAAAACCUCAAACUCAAAUGGUAUCCCUGGACUAUACUGUUUCUGUCAUAGGUGAUGUUUUUAUUCCCAGUAAUGGUGGAAACAUGGCUAAAGUUCUCGAAGGAUGCCGCAGGUAUGUCUAUUUCUGAUCUACCGAGUCAAAAUGGUCAGCUACGCUUCUAGGGUAACUUCUAUACAAUACCUAGAUCAUAGUUUCAUUGUAGAUUGUAAGAAAUCAUGCUCCGUAGAUGGAAUUGGUAUUUGGAAAAAGAAAUAUAAUGUUAAGUUGAGAACUGGGACUGAAUGGUUCAUGAUCAACAGACAUACCGAACAUGAAUAUUGCAGGCUUUACCAUAAGCUUACAAUGGUACCAAUUUUGGUCGAUUUAAUUGGUUUGAAAAUUAGAGCAAGCGCAAGCAUGUUGUCUGUCAGUCUUAACUAAGCAGAUUUCUAUUCGGCAUCAAUAUAUCCAUUAUUUUGAGGCAUAAUGAAAUUUGGGGCUCAUCAUGCUUCUAAUAUGAUGUGUCUCAACGACAAUGGCACUACCAAUUCCAUGCUCACCCGGUUCACCAAAAUCGAAACAGGGGAUCACCAUGAUGGAGAUCACAUCACAUUCAGACCCAAGGAUCUAGGAUCUGCAGUCUGGAUAUGAUCAGCUAGAAGAUCAGGGCAACGGCACCAAUAGUCUUUGUGGGCAUUCCAUUUGGGAAUAUCAAGCAAAGUGCAUAGAACCACUUGUCUUAAGAAGAACCGCAACAAGGAGGAGAGCCUGAACGACAUUUUGCGGGCGAUUAUUAUGCCAGCUUUGGAUAGGAAGAAACAAGUGAUCAAUGUCAGAAAGAGAUCAUGUUUCCCAAUGGUGUAGCCGUGUAGGGAAUCACCCGGCUUCCAUCAGGAUGAUCUUAUAGGAUGGCAAUCAUGCUUGUUUCUGGAUCAUAUUAGAUUCAGGAAUACUAUGAACACUCUGGCUGCUGACCUCUUUGCCACCAUCAGAAGAGGGUUAGUCGGAAUAUACUCAGUCCAGGACAUCUUGCUGCAAAAAUGUUAUUAUAGGAUAUAAUAGGAUUCAGAGCUUCCCAUUUGCAGAACAAUUGUGGAAGCAUUGGGCACCUUUAAAACACAAACGUCUGGCUGGUCUUGAACAUUAGAUGUUGCAGAUUAACUGCGGCGCAGAGCCAGAGUUCUUUAACCAUCUUGCUCGGUGGAAAGCAAAUAUAUUUCAAGAUUUUCAGGUGAACCUAAUCUUAUUUAAUGUGCUUAGGUGAAUCUAAUCAGGGUAGCUUAUUGCUCUCAGGAAUUCUUCCACCCAGAUGGUUGUUUUCCAUUCUAGCCGCCAUGAAGAAAGGGCAAAACUCCCUGGUCAUCCUAACAUUAAGAGCUACUGCUAUUUGGUUGGAGCCCAAUGUCAACUUCUUUUAACAAGCAUGCAAGUGUUGAUGUGAUCUUUAGAUGAAUCAAAACUGAAUCCAGUAGUAGAAGAUAAUAUUCGAUGAGCCAGUAGGUCGAGUGGGCCUAAUGGCCAUGUUUUUUUUUUUUGACAUUUUACUAGCUUUUGUCAUAUUUAUCUUAUCUUUUGGAUCCUAUGAGUGACAUGUAUAUCAUAUUAUUUUAGUUUCUAUCAGUA